CCUACGGGUGGCAGCAGUGGGGAAUAUUGGACAAUGGGGGGAACCCUGAUCCAGCCAUGCCGCGUGUGUGAAGAAGGCCCUCGGGUUGUAAAGCACUUUCAGUGAGGAAGAACGCCUGGUGGUUAAUACCCAUCAGGAAAGACAUCACUCACAGAAGAAGCACCGGCUAACUCCGUGCCAGCAGCCGCGGUAAUACGGAGGGUGCGAGCGUUAAUCGGAAUUACUGGGCGUAAAGCGCGCGUAGGUGGCUUGAUAAGCCGGUUGUGAAAGCCCCGGGCUCAACCUGGGAACGGCAUCCGGAACUGUCAAGCUAGAGUGCAGGAGAGGAAGGUAGAAUUCCCGGUGUAGCGGUGAAAUGCGUAGAGAUUGGGAGGAAUACCAGUGGCGAAGGCGGCCUUCUGGACUAACACUGACGCUGAGGUGCGAAAGCGUGGGUAGCAAACAGGAUUAGAUACCCUGGUAGUC
rnacentral:rRNA from 1 species